rnacentral:rRNA from 1 species
CAGCCGCCGCGGGAAUACAGAGGGUGCGAGCGUUAAUCGGAUUUACUGGGCGUAAAGCGUGCGUAGGCGGCUUCUUAAGUCGGAUGUUAAAUCCCUGAGCUUAACUUAGGAAUUGCAUUCGAUACUGGGAAGCUAGAGUAUGGGAGAGGAUGGUAGAAUUCCAGGUGUAGCGGUGAAAUGCGUAGAGAUCUGGAGGAAUACCGAUGGCGAAGGCAGCCAUCUGGCCUAAUACUGACGCUGAGGUACGAAAGCAUGGGGAGCAAACAGGAUUAGAUACCCGCGUAGUCCCUGUCUCUUAUAC